rnacentral:rRNA from 1 species
GCUCAGGAUGAACGCUGGCGGCGUGCCUAACACAUGCAAGUCGAACGAAGCGAUUAGGAUGAAGUUUUCGGAUGGAUUCCUGGUUGACUGAGUGGCGGACGGGUGAGUAACGCGUGGAUAACCUGCCUCACACUGGGGGAUAACAGUUAGAAAUGGCUGCUAAUACCGCAUAAGCGCACAGUACCGCAUGGUACGGUGUGAAAAACCCAGGUGGUGUGAGAUGGAUCCGCGUCUGAUUAGCCAGUUGGCGGGGUAACGGCCCACCAAAGCGACGAUCAGUAGCCGACCUGAGAGGGUGACCGGCCACAUUGGGACUGAGACACGGCCCAAACUCCUACGGGAGGCAGCAGUA